AAAGAGACAUCCCUAUUUCUUCCCAACAGGUGCCUUUACAAAUCUCUUUCAGCUGCAUGCUGUGACAUUCCCUAGCUACUGGAAAAGAUUUGCCUUUGUAAUAUCAUGGUGCCCCUGUUCUUCAGACUCAUUUCAGCUUUGUGUUUGGAAAUCACCUAGCACAGUUAAAGGGAUGUGACAUUAUGAAUAAUAAAUUCUGUAGAUAUGAAAGGAGCCUCCCGCUCCAAGACAACAGAAAUAUCAAUACAGUGUAUUAUCUGCCUUGAUCAACAAAAAACAGCCCUUCAGUGGGACAAGCAUGGCUGUGGAAGGAAGAUACAAUUCCGUCUUGAGCUCCCAAUUAAGUCUUUAAGGAGAAAGUUUGAAAGCACAGGGGAUGCUGUACAUACUCUUUUCAAUGAGCUCUACUAACCUGUUCUUUCCUGCCCAUUGCUGAUUCUGCCCUGGGUGCCUGCUGGGAGCAGCCACGU